UAAGGAAUAUCGGACAAUGGAGGCAACUCUGAUCCAGCCAUGCCGCGUGAAGGAAUAAGGCCCUAUGGGUUGUAAACUUCUUUUAGACGGGACAAAACCCCUUUACGUGUAAAGGGUUGAUGGUACUGUCAGAAUAAGCAUCGGCUAACUUCGUGCCAGCAGCCGCGGUAAUACGAAGGAUGCAAGCGUUAUCCGGAAUUAUUGGGUUUAAAGGGUGCGUAGGCGGACUAAUAAGUCAGUGGUGAAAGCCUGCAGCUUAACUGCAGAAUUGCCAUUGAUACUGUUAGUCUUGAGUACAGUUGAGGUAGGCGGAAUGUGUCACGUAGCGGUGAAAUGCUUAGAUAUGACACAGAACACCUAUUGCGAAGGCAGCUUGCUAAGCUGUAACUGACGCUGAGGCACGAAAGCGUGGGGAGCAAACA
rnacentral:rRNA from 1 species